AAGCGUUGAAGCAUAAUAGCGUUACCGGGAUGCCUUGUUAUGCAGAGCUUUCAGUAGGGGUUGUGCAGUAACCUCAAAACCGGAGUAGGCUGCAAAGCCGAAAGAAAAUGCUCAAA
rnacentral:sRNA from 12 species